UACAGAGGUCCCAAGCGUUGUUCGGAUUUACUGGGCGUAAAGGGUGCGCAGGCGGUCGGAUAAGUCGGGUGUGAAAUCCCAAGGCUCAACCUUGGAACUGCGCUCGAAACUAUCUGGCUUGAGGAUUGGAGAGGAGACUGGAAUUCAUGGUGUAGCGGUGAAAUGCGUAGAUAUCAUGAGGAACACCAAUGGCGAAGGCAGGUCUCUGGACAAUUUCUGACGCUCAUGCACGAAAGCCAGGGGAGCAAACGGG
rnacentral:rRNA from 1 species